AAGUCGUAACAAGGUUUCCGUAGGUGAACCUGCGGAAGGAUCAUUAUCGAGUUUAGAGGCGCGUCCUUUUGAGCUGGCAUGCAGGUGCUUGGAGGCGCGUCUUCUCAUCCACUCAACCCCUGUGCACCUUGAAGCGAUUGUCUGGAGGGUCUGUUAUGCGGACUCGAAGGGCGAUUUGCUUUCAUUAUAAACACUUAUUCUUGUCUUGUCAUGCGCAUAUAGCCUCUCGUUAGGCAUUAAUGUAAAUACAACUUUCAACAACGGAUCUCUUGGCUCUC
rnacentral:misc_RNA from 1 species